CCUACGGGUGGCUGCAGUGGGGAAUACUGGACAAUGGGGGGAACCCUGAUCCAGCCAUGCCGCGUGUGUGAAGAAGGCCCUCGGGUUGUAAAGCACUUUCAGUGAGGAAGAACGCCUGGUGGUUAAUACCCAUCAGGAAAGACAUCACUCACAGAAGAAGCACCGGCUAACUCCGUGCCAGCAGCCGCGGUAAUACGGAGGGUGCGAGCGUUAAUCGGAAUUACUGGGCGUAAAGCGCGCGUAGGUGGCUUGAUAAGCCGGUUGUGAAAGCCCCGGGCUCAACCUGGGAACGGCAUCCGGAACUGUCAAGCUAGAGUGCAGGAGAGGAAGGUAGAAUUCCCGGUGUAGCGGUGAAAUGCGUAGAGAUCGGGAGGAAUACCAGUGGCGAAGGCGGCCUUCUGGACUGACACUGACACUGAGGUGCGAAAGCGUGGGUAGCAAACAGGAUUAGAUACCCCAGUAGUC
rnacentral:rRNA from 1 species